rnacentral:rRNA from 1 species
UUCCGGUUGAUCCCGCCGGAGGUCACUGCUAUUGGAGUUCGAUUAAGCCAUGCGAGUCAAGAGUUCUUCGUGAACUCGGCGGACUGCUCAGUAACACGUGGGUAGUCUACCCUGGGGUCAGGGAUAAUCCCGGGAAACUGGGAAUAAUACCUGAUAGGUGAAGAUGUCUGGAACGAUACUUCGCCCAAAGCUCCGGCGCCCUAGGAUGAGCCUGCGGCCGAUUAGGUUGUUGGCGGUGUAAAGGACCACCAAGCCCGUGAUCGGUACGGGUGUUGAGAGACAUAGCCCGGAGAUGGGGGCUGAGACACGGCCCCAGGCCCUACGGGGCGCAGCAGGCGCGAAAACUACGCAAUGCGCGAAAGCGUGACGUGGGAACUCCAAGUGCCUUGCCUUAGGGUAAAGCUUUUGUUUAGUGUAAGUAGCUAAACGAAUAAGUGCUGGGUAAGACCGGUGCCAGCCGCCGCGGUAACACCGGCAGCGCAAGUGGUGACCGCUUUUAUUGGGCCUAAAGCGUUCGUAGCCGGUUUGGUAAGUCUUUGGGUAAAUCCUUCGGCUUAACCGAAGGAAUUCCGAAGAUACUGCCAGACUUGGAGUUGAGAGAGGUCAGAGGUACCCCUGGGGUAGGGGUGAAAUCCUAUAAUCCUGGGGGGACCACCAGUGGCGAAGGCGUCUGACUAGAGCAAGCUCGACGGUGAGGGACGAAAGCCAGGGGCGCGAACGGGAUUAGAUACCCCGGUAGUCCUGGCCGUAAACGCUGCGCGCUAGGUGUUGCAUGCUCUACGAGGGCGUGCAGUGCCGAAGAGAAGUUGAUAAGCGUGCCGCCUGGGAAGUAUUACCGCAAGGUAGAAACUUAAAGGAAUUGGCGGGGGAGCACCACAAGGGGUGGAGUCUGCGGUUCAAUUGGAUUCAACGCCGGA